AGUGUUCCUCUGUUCAGCAUUUACAGGGUGUGUUGUACAAUGUAAUAAAAUAUUUAUUUAUUUCUUAAUGCAUACUCAAGAAUAUAUUCAGCACUUAUUUUGAUUAUUUAAAUAGUUGCGGUGUGGACUGUGCCUAAGAAUUCCCCACAGCGCCGGCUAUGUAGACAGCGUGUGAAAAUGGAAUCCAAAUGCUCACAAGAAAUGACAAAAGCAGCAUGAAGAUUAACACAAAGAAAUUGUGCCAGAAAAGUUUGAAGUAGCUAUGGGAAUGAUCAACAUUGAACUUGCUGAGCCUUCCUUCUGAAAGUGACUUGACCAGAUAU